rnacentral:rRNA from 1 species
GCCAGACUCCUACGGGAGGCAGCAGUGGGGAAUAUUGGGCAAUGGGCGCAAGCCUGACCCAGCAACGCCGCGUGAAGGAAGAAGGCUUUCGGGUUGUAAACUUCUUUUGUCAGGGACGAAGCAAGUGACGGUACCUGACGAAUAAGCCACGGCUAACUACGUGCCAGCAGCCGCGGUAAUACGUAGGUGGCAAGCGUUAUCCGGAUUUAUUGGGUGUAAAGGGAGCGUAGACGGCCAGACAAGUCUGAAGUGAAAAUCCAGCGCUUAACGUUGGAAGUGCUUUGGAAACUGCCGGGCUGGAGUGCAGGAGGGGCAGGCGGAAUUCCUAGUGUAGCGGUGAAAUGCGUAGAUAUUAGGAGGAACACCAGUGGCGAAGGCGGCCUGCUGGACUGCAACUGACGUUGAGGCUCGAAGGCGUGGGGAGCAAACAGGAUUAGAUACCCGCGUAGG